rnacentral:rRNA from 1 species
AUUGAACGCUGGCGGCAGGCCUAACACAUGCAAGUCGAGCGGAUGAAGGGAGCUUGCUCCUGGAUUCAGCGGCGGACGGGUGAGUAAUGCCUAGGAAUCUGCCUGGUAGUGGGGGAUAACGUCCGGAAACGGGCGCUAAUACCGCAUACGUCCUGAGGGAGAAAGUGGGGGAUCUUCGGACCUCACGCUAUCAGAUGAGCCUAGGUCGGAUUAGCUAGUUGGUGGGGUAAAGGCCUACCAAGGCGACGAUCCGUAACUGGUCUGAGAGGAUGAUCAGUCACACGGGAACUGAGACACGGUCCAGACUCCUACGGGAGGCAGCAGUGGGGAAUAUUGGACAAUGGGCGAAAGCCUGAUCCAGCCAUGCCGCGUGUGUGAAGAAGGUCUUCGGAUUGUAAAGCACUGUAAGUUGGGAGGAAGGGCAGUAAGUUAAUACCUUGCUGUUUUGACGUUACCAACAGAAUAAGCACCGGCUAACUUCGUG